AUUGAACGCUGGCGGCAGGCCUAACACAUGCAAGUCGAACGGUAACAGGAAGAAGCUUGCUUCUUUGCUGACGAGUGGCGGACGGGUGAGUAAUGUCUGGGAAACUUCCUGAUGGAGGGGGAUAACUACUGGAAACGGUAGCUAAUACCGCAUAACGUCGCAAGACCAAAGAGGGGGACCUUCGGGCCUCUUGCCAUCGGAUGUGCCCAGAUGGGAUUAGCUAGUAGGUGGGGUAACGGCUCACCUAGGCGACGAUCCCUAGCUGGUCUGAGAGGAUGACAAGCCACACUGGAACUGAGACACGGUCCAGACUCCUACGGGAGGCAGCAGUGGGGAAUAUUGCACAAUGGGCGCAAGCCUGAUGCAGCCAUGCCGCGUGUAUGAAGAAGGCCUUCGGGUUGUAAAGUACUUUCAGCGGGGAGGAAGGGAGUAAAGUUAAUACCUUUGCUCAUUGACGUUACCCGCAGAAGAAGCACCGGCUAACUCCGUG
rnacentral:rRNA from 1 species